GCCAGUUAAGCAAGGAAGCCAUUACUUUGAGUUAGAGGACCACAAUCAAAACGAUUUCUCUCUAUAGUGUGCCAUUCUCGUCGGGCGAGUGGACUGAUCACAUCUGCGGUCUCCUGUGGUGGCUAAGGCCGUAUUAGAGGACACUAGAACCUUGGUUGGCGCAAGUUUGAUAAUAUUUUUCGCCGCAAUUUAUUAACCGUUUUGAGACAUGCAAUCCGAGAGACUUUCCUAAUUAAAAAUAGACUUUAAGGUUGCCAUCUGACUGCUUUGCAUAUGUGUGGUCUGUGUGGUAUACAUUUGCACAAAAAAGUUGCGUACAUUUGAAGCAGGGGAAUUAAAAGUAUGCACUUCAUAAAUCCCUGU